GGGACUCUGGGAGCAAGGGUCCAGAGGGGUCAGGGUUUGGGGGUCGGGGGUCGGGGCCCAUCCUUACUCGAUCACAGAGCUUCUCAUCCGCAGCACCGCUGGCAUUUGAAGCAGAUUAUUCUCUGUCGUGGGGAAUGUCCCGAGUGGAGCCUUCAGACCACUUCUCAGCUGGACACAGGGUCCUGGGAGGGCCUCUCAAGGUCAUAGAACCAGAAAGAGGGAGGAGAGAAAGCAGUUUAACUCGGAGUUAGUGAUGACUCCUGAGGGUUCAACCCACAGCGGCAUUUGCGGGAUAUUCAGGUUAAACACAGACAUCAACAGGAUGAAUUAACCAAAGAACUUCUCCAGGGUCAGGAGGAAAAGUCCUUUGGUUUCAGGCGCAAUUUCCAGACAGAAAGGGUGUCACGUGGAGAUGAACAGGCCGUGUUCUGGAAACGUGAGGUCUGAAGCUCACAAGUUGGAUAGUAAAAUAGAAAAAUAAAGCUUCUGUUAUAGAAGACGCGUCAGUUGGGUUUGGACAAAGUCAUUCCAUGACUUAGACGAGUGUAUAAGGGACUUCCCUGGUGGUCCAGCGGUUAAGACUCUAUGAUCUCAAUGCAGGGGCCUGGGUUCCAUCCCUGGUCGGGGAACUACGAUUUCACACACUGCCCCUAAAGAUCCUGCCUGCCCCAACUAAGAUCUGGCCCAGCCAAAUAAAUAAAUAAAUAUUUUAAAAAAGAAUGUGCAAGAGACCAUGUUGGAAAAAGAUACUAGUUUUUAAGGAUGACUUUAUUUUUUACAACCAUUUUAGAUUUACAGAAAAAUGAAAAAGAGAGCACCCUACCCCUAGCAUCUCCAACGAUGGACACUUUAAUGUUCGUCUAGCGUAUCUGUUACGGUGAACACACCGUGUUGAUGCAUUAUUAUUAACUAAAGUCCACAAUUUAUUCAGGUUUGUAAAAUUUUUUUACCCAGUGUCUUUUUUUUUUCUCUGUUUGAGAAUCCCAUUUAGGAUUCCACACCACAUUUUGUUAUCAUGUCCUUUAGGCUCCUCUCGGCUGUGACGGUUUCUCCGACGUGCCUUCUUUUUGGUGAAGUGACAGUUUUGAGGAAUACCUGUGACGUCUUUCUGUAGGCUGCUCCUCUAUGGGCAGAACCGGUCGGCUGUUUUUGACACGGCUAGGUGGGGGUUAUGGGUUUUGAGGAGGAAGCUCUCAGCAAUAAAGUGCCAUUUUUAUCACAUCACAUCAAGAGUGCAUGCUGUCAACAGGAUUCAUUGCCGCUGAUGCUGACCUUGAUCACUGGGCUCAGGCUGUGCUUGUCAGGUUUCUCCACCAUGACGUCACGCUUCUCCCCCACCCCCGCCUGCCUCGACAUCGUGCUCUUGGGAAGGAAGUAGUCGUGCUUGUGCUCAGCCACGUCCAGCUCUUUGGCGACCCCAGGGACUGUAGCCCUCCAGGCUCCUCUGUUCAUGGGAGUUUCCCAGGCAAGAAUGCUGGAGUGGUUGCCAUUUCCUCCUCCAGGGGAUCUCCCCGACACAGGGACUGAACCCGUGUUUCAGCAUCUCCUGCAUUGGCAGGUGGAUUCUUUAACCACUGAGCCACCUGGGAAGAAAGGGAAGAAGGAAGUCACUCUGUUAGCCUCCACCCAAGGAGGAGGCAGUUACUCUCUGCUGUACAAAUGAUUCAGAGUUCUUCUGCCCACAUCUGUCUGUUCUCUUUUACAUAUCAGUUUAUUCAGUUGUAUCAGCAUGGGCUCCUGGCUAUUUAUUUCAUUUAUACUUUGAGUUAUAAUUCAAUAUUCAAAUUGUUGCAGCUUUGGCCAGUGGGAGUCCUUUGGGUUGGUUCCCUUGCCCACUGAUGUUCCACCAUCAGCGUAGGUUUUUUUUCUUUUCUUUCUUUCUUUGAGCAUUUGCUGACUUCCGGUGCCACCAAUGUGCGAGGCUCGUCUUGUGUAUUUCUUGCUCCAAACUUAGACUCAGUCAUUUCUCUGUGGAGCCCUUGUUCCUCUCUGGAGUGUGGUGUUAGAAACUAAGAUGCCACCAGGGAAGUCCCAUCUGGGUGCCACACGUGUCCACUGCUAGUGGGUGGCAUUUCUUUUAGGCCUUCUCAAAAGUAACAGGAAAAAAAAAAAGCAUUGAGUUGGCCAAAAAGUUCAUUUGUGUUUUUCAUACCAGCUUACAGGAAAAUACAAAUGAACUUUUUGACCAACCCAAUAUAUGUGUAUAUAUGUGUCUAUUUACUAACUCAUGUAUAUGAUUUUAUCUACAAAUAUUUCUACAUGUGACCAGCUGUAUCUAUAUUUCACUAGACAUGAGUUCAUACUGAUAUCUCCUGAAUCCAAUGUGUUUUACAAUGUGAUUUGAAAUAGCGAUGAAUCACUAUAUUGAUAACGAUAAUUAUCAGUGCCAUUUACUUUGUGCUUACUAUGUGCUACUUACUUUCUAAGUGUUUAACACUUAGAAAUUAGCAUUAUCUCCUUUAGGCUACUUGUCAGCCCCAGGCCCUAGUUAUUCCCCUCAACCUCAUUUUACCAGCGAGGUAUUAGAGGCACAGACAAGUCAGGAUCUUGCUGAAAGUCUCCCACACAGUAAGUGAUGGAGUCGGUGUCAAAACCUGGUUCAGUCGUGUCAAGCAUAAAGUGCAUCCACAUCUUCCAUUAAAGAGCGUUUAUAUACAGCCAAAAAGAAAGGAAGAGACAUUGUCUUACCCUUUUGACUGGUUGAUAUAGUAUUAUAUUUCAAAGACAUUUCACGUCAAUGUCAUGACUUCCUUUGAAGCCAAUACAGUAUUUUGGAUCUCAGACUUUUUCUGCGUGAAGUUCUGCUGUAUCUGAGGACGGACUGAUGAAAGAGCUCAGGCACAUCCACCCAGUCGCCCUGCUGGGCCGUCCUCAGGGUCUCCCUCCAGCCGGCCUGGUGGGAAAUUUGCAAGGACACAGUCUUCAGGGAAGCAUGUGCUAGGCGGCUCAGAUCCCAGAGGGCCCGAGGAAGGUGGAGACGGGGCGUGGGUGCCGGGAAGGGCCGGGCGGCCGUGGCAUUCUGACCCCCAGGGGUUCCUGGUGUCAGUCUGGUCUGACCUGCUGGGCAUCUUCAGAGGGGAGUCUUGGACAGGAGACUGCUCUGACCCCCAGCAUGGCCUGAGGGCAGCCCAAGCCCCUCCCUCCUCUCUGCACCAGGCUUCCUUCUCUCAGCAGCCCCACCCUCCUCCAGCCUAGGGCCAGGCUGAUGCUGCCUUCCCCAGGAAGCCUUCUCUGCCUACUUCACCGUCAAUGAUGUCCCUGUUCUCGGAGAUUCCCGGCCCAGACUCGGGGUCUCCAGCGAGGGGCCCUCAGACACGCUUCCUUUUGCCUGCGCAGUGCUUUCUAACAUUUUGAUUUGGUAGCUAGCAUUGAAGGGCAAAAGGUUUCAUGGGAAAACGUGGACACCCAGGCUCUCUUACAAAGGUGGAAAGCCUGGCAGCCCUGAGCUCUCAUCCCCCAGCUGGUUCAGCCCGGUGCCUGGCACAGAGCAGGUGCUCGGCCACCGCUGAAAACAUGAACAGGCCAAAUGCAUUCGGCUUGGAACCCUGGCUUUAGAGGCAGAUGGGAUCGACUUUCAGCCAGUCCUUCCUGGCUAUGGAACCUGGGGAGGAAAAGGUUUCUUCUCCCUCAGCCUCAGUUUUUCCUCAUCUGGAGAAUGGGCUUGAAAUAAACCUCACAGGGUGGUUGUGGUGUUGAAGUGGACUAACGUAUGGGGUGGGCUUAGGACGCGGUAGGCUCUCAGGGAGCCUGGAUAAAUAUUUCCUUUUCUUCCUUUUUCCCAUUUCCCAAUGACCGCAUUCGCCACCUGUUCAAUCCACAAAUGCCUACCAGGUGCCGGACACACGAGCUCUAGCUGCUGCCCUCAGAGAGCUCCUCUUCCUGGCCUAGCCUAAGAGAGAGCUGUUUCAUUCAUGUGCACAUUCAUUUACUUAUUCAUUCACCUGUACUGCAAUUUAUUGAACACCCGCAGUGUGCCAGGAGUUAUUCAGAAGACAGAGGACACAGCAGCGAACAAAACAGACAAAAGUCCCUGCCGUCGCGGAGCUGGCGUUCUGGUGGCCGCUCAGGGGCCACGAAACAAUACAGGGUCAGGCAGCACUGAGUUCUGUGAAGAAUGGUCGGCGUGAUGGAGGUGCUGCUGUGGGCAGGGAGGGAGAGAGCCGUGUGCCUGGCUCUCUGACUCAAGAGCAUUCCAGACAGAGGACAGCAAGUGCAAAGGCCCUGGGGCAGGCACAGGCCUGAGGUGCUUGCAAGGCAGUGAGAAGGCCAGCGUGACCAGGGGACAGUAAGCUUCAUUGCGGUGUCAUUGACCCAUAACACCGGGUAAAUUUAAGGUGAACCACGUGUUGAUUCCAUGUUGAUUCACCAGACGAGCCUGAAGGGCCACAGUUCUGGGGUCGCCAAGAGUCGGACAUGACUGCGUGACUUUCAUGUGUUGAUUGGAUAUACUUAUAGAUCUCAAAAUGAUUGCCACCAGAGGCUCAGUUCACACCUCCGGUGGAGGCUUUUCUUCUGUCUCAUCAUUCUUUCUGGUUGUUGUUUUUCCCUCUUUGGUUGCUUGGAGUGGCAUGCGGGAUCUUAGUUCCUCAGGGAUCAAAUCCACACCUUCUGUGGUGCAAGUGUGGAGUCUUAGCCACUGGACUGCCAGGCAAGUCCCUUCCCCAUUAUUCUUAGGGAUUCUGGAAGGUGAGUGUGUGGGGUGGGCGUCCAUGGGUCUGUGAUGAGGGCAGGUGCCGCUUCCUUCUCUUCCCCGCCCCCCACCCACCCCGCUUCUUUCCAUCUGCAGACUCUUCAGCAGAAGGAAGCACCCAGAUUCCGAAGGUCUUGUUUCAGGGACACUGAGAAUAUGAAGCCCACCCUGACCUCCUCUGGCUCUUGAGGUGACCUGGACUUCCUCUGUUGAAGAAUGUUGCCUCUUUCAUGUGCUAAUCUCCCAUCCCAAGCUGGACCCCCUGACUGGGACCCAAAAGAGGGCUGUAUCUCCAGAGUCCGGCAAGAACCCAGCACAGGGCAGCCACGGGGGCCAGGUGUUGGGUGAAUGACAUCACUGAGCACCUGUUGCGUGCCGAACCCUUCACAUACGAGUCCGGCGUUUAACAUCUUUCUUCUGGAAUGCUGGCUUUGCCAAGAUUAGUGCAUAGCAAGCACUCCAGGAUUACGUGAUGGAAGUGCUGAGACGAACUGUCACUCAGAGGAAAGAAGACUUCCUGAGGAUGGGGCCUUAGCAGACUGAGCUCAUGAGACAAUAAAAAUAAGAAGAAAAUAAUAAUUGUCACUAUUUAUUAUGAUCCAGGAUCAUUAUUUAUUAUGAUCCAGGAUCAUUAUUUAUUAUGAUCCUGGAUCGUAAUAAAUGGUUCAUCUUCCCAGGGGGUUAGUACUGCUCUUGUGCCCAUCUCACAGAUGGGGGAACUGAGGCACAGAGAAGUGAAAGUGGAAACCCCAAGUCACACAGUCAGUGAGUGGCAGAGCCAGGAUUAGACCAGCGCUGUUUGCCUGAGGAGACUGUCCUGAGCUUAUUACAACACACCUUCCAAAAAGAGAAGUGCUGAUGGUUGUGCCCAUUCUGCAGAUGAGGAAGCAGAGGUUCUGAGAAGCGAAAGGGCUGGCCCGUGUCUGGAAGCAGAGAUGGUGGCUCAGCUGGAGACGCCCAAGGGAGCGCCCAGCCUCCUGGGUUAGUACUCUAAAGGGUGGGGGGAGCUGUCCCUGCCUGUUCUUGUGUCUGGCCAAUACCCCAGCCUCUGUUUACCCAGCCCAACACCCAAGAGCUGCCUCUCCGCCUGCCCCGGAGUCUCGGGUGCCUUCACAAUAGGAUUCUCUGUCUGUGCAGCUGGUCUUCAUUCAAGCCCUUUGUGCUGAAAAUAAAAAAAUGAAAAGAAAACUUGGCUCCUCCCCCCUGCUUUGCUUCCCAGGGAGAGAGGAUCCCAGUCUUUUCUUUCCCACAUUCUGGGACCCAGAGAUGUCCAUCGUCUGUCCAAGAUCACACAGCGGGGUUGGAGCCAGGACCUGGCCGUGGGCUCCUCAUCCAGUGCUCUGUUCACGGUCCCCGGCCUCUGGCUUCAGGGCCGGUCACCCCUUCCUGGCCCCUGCAUCUGCUUCUUCCUGACUCCAUCUUCCAGGCCUGUGGGGAGCAGAGGAAGUGGGGCUGAUGCUCCCCUAGGCUCUUGACGUGCCAGGCGCCCUGCCACCUGCAGAUCACAGGCUGCUCACUGCAGUGCAGUGAGGUCUUGUCACGCCUCUCUGAACAGAGUAGGAAACCAAGGCUGCGUAAGGCAGAGGGCCUGAGGUCCCACAGCUGGGGAGAACGGAGCUGGGAUUAGAGCUCGUCCCAUGGCUGAGUCGCUGCCGUACCUGGCACCUCAUCUGGGGCCCUUGAUGGAGGCCUUGGCCCUGGGGAUGGUGGAGGAUCCUGGAGGGAAGUGGGAGCCUGGGCAGGCCCAGGGCCCUGGAGCUGAGUCAGACAGGAACAAUGGGUCCUCAGAGGUGGUGGUGGCCCUGGGUCAGGCGGGAGCUGGAGCCGGGGGCCGCAGGGCGCAGCGGCGGGCGGGCCCGGGAGACUCAGCACCUCCCUUCCCUUCCUCCAGCUCCUGGGUCAGGACAGGGGUCGCUCGGGGCCCCUAGGCGGCCACACCUGGACAGACCCAGGGCUCCAGCAGGAGGCAGGAUAGGAGAGGCCGGGCAGGCCCCGUGUAACGGGGAUGGCUGAUGCCCACACACUCGUGUUGGCUGAGCACUAGCUGCAGGCCAGGCGCUGUGCCGAGGGCCGUCCUGGGGCUCCCCAUCAGCCAGGGGCUGCGACUGUGAUUCACGCCCUUUUACGGGUGUGGAAACUGAGGCCCAGAGCGGCCCUCGACGCUUGCCUGGGGCCACACAGGGACCAAGAACUUUGGAAAGUGGGGUCCUCAGGAGUGAGCUGCCUGCCCCAGGAGGCAUACAAGCAGGGGCGAAGGGAACUCAGUGGGGGUCAGUGAGGACUUGGAGGGGAGUUAGGGUGUUUCGUUGAACAUGGGGCCAGGGAAGCUCUAAGUUGGAGAGCGAAUGAAACCUCUUGAGCUGUUUGUUGUGGGGGAUGAAGCAAAUUACCGGGUGCUCUGGAUUAGAAACGUGCCUGGUAUGCAGGAGGUGCUCAGUAGAUGGGCGCGUCCUUCGUAGACCACCUACCGCUUGCAGAAACAGCCGCUCACAUUCACGGAGCCGCCACGGACCGGGCCCUGUGCCUGGGCGUUGUUGAGCGCCCCCUGUAUCUCAGCCACUGUGCUGAGUGCUCUUGGAUUCUUGAGUCUCAUGACACGUCAGAUGGACACCUGCUGUCCUUUUUUUUUUUUUUUAAAUAUUUAUCUGUGUGGCUGGGUCCAGUCUUAGUUGUGGUACGCAGGAUCUUCGCUGCGUCAUGUGGGAUCCUUUGUUCUCUGCUCUAACCCCACAUCCAAGCCAUGGAGGCUCUCUAGUUACAGCUCGCGGGCUCCAGACCUCGGGGCCUCAGUAGUUGUGACAUGCGGGCUUACUUGCCUCAUGUGUGGGAUCUUAGUUCCCUGAUUAGGGAUUGAACCUGCAUCUCCUGUGUGGCAAAGUGGAUUUUUUACCACCGGGCCACCAGGGAAGUCCCGAUACCUGCUGCUCUUAUCCCUAUUGGUGGAUAAGGACAUGGGAGGCAGUCAGCAUGGCUGGGUGCGCGAGCUGGUGUUUCUCUGCUGUGUGGCCGUGGGCAGCUGCUGAGUUCCCUGGGGCUCGGUUUCCCCCAUCUGUACCAUUAGAUAUGUUUACCCAUGUCAUCCUGGACUUCUAGAAUGAAGUUUUAAGUUUCAUCCUAGGUGAGGGUUUAAGUAUCUGUGAGGCUGGCUUUUUUCUCUCCCAGGGACCAGACAAAAAUGCUGCCCUAAAUGAAAUCCUCUAAAAGACUCUUUUAAGGCCUUCUGACACCUCCUCUCUAUUUUCUCCCAUCUCAGGGUUCCUUCUCAUUUUCCUCUUAUCCCGAUGAGAUCUUCCAUGCCUGGAAAAGUAAAGACAUUUAGCUAAACCUUAUAACAAGAGUCUGGGCUCUGGGUUAAUUUCUCUCCCCUUCUUUUUUUCCUCAUGGGCCCUGGUGGCUGCUGUGCACCAGUCAUCACACCCCACGACCACAUCCCAACCAGGAAAGGAAGGGGGCUGGGCAGGAAAGCGAUCUUUCUCAUCUAGAAUUUCACUCUUAUAUCAAACAGGAAAAUAUUGUCUAAAUGUCCCAGUAGACUUCCCCUCGUGUCCCAUGUGACAGUGGAGUCACAUGUUUGCCUUUAAGCUGGGAAAGAAUGCCUGUGGCUGACUUUAGACCAAUCAGAACACAGUCUCUCUGUCUGCCCCAGAGAAAUCUAGGCUCUAAAGGUGAUGGGGGUUCAUCUGGGCUGGCCGGCAGUUCCAGUCUCACCGACAUCCCACAUCCAGGCAGCAAAGGUGGGCUGGGUUUGCCAGGACAUCUCUUACUUGCCCCCUGAGUCACUCCCCGUACCUUGGCACUGUCUUCCCAGGGCUGCAGAGGUGGUCUCUCUGGUUCUCCUCUGUCCUCCCCGCCUGUUCUUUCUCAGGUCUCAGAAAUGGCCCUUGAGGGGGAGUGGAACUCUCUCCUGCCUUCACCUGACCCCAUGCCUGGCGAGCUCAGCCGCACAGGGCCCCUCGUCCUUGACCAGGUCUCCCCAGUCCCUGUCUGCGUGUCCAUCAGUGGCUCAGGCCACUCGGUCUGCCUGAGACCAGUUUCUUCCUCCUCCCGGUUCUCUGUCUUGCUCAGUUUCCCAAAUCAGAGACAUGGAUGUCAUUUAACUCCCUGCAUCUUCCCCGGCUCAGAUAACGACACUGCCCCCAACCCAGGAGGGGAUCAGCUCUCAGACCCUGCAGUCACUCUCAGCUCACUCUCACCCCACAUCCACUCCAUCAGAAAUCCCGCCGGCUCUGCCUCCUGACUGGAUCCGCCUCCUCUGCCAGCACCUGGUCCCUCCUCAUCCCCUCCUCCCUGCUGCCGCCUUCCAGAAGGACCCUGUUAGAGCUUCCAUCAGCUCACUGCUGCCCUUUUCACAGCCCUCCCAGGCCCCCGCCUCCCUCCCUGCCCUGCAGACCCUGCCUCCCACCGCCUCCCCUCUGGCCACAAGGACUUUCGUAUGCACCUCCUUAAACACACCAAGUUUUCCCCAGCCCGUCCCCACCUUUGCCCUUGCUGCAGCUCACUCUGGGACACUGCCUUCUGGACCUUUCUCUGACCUGCUCCCCUCCUCACUCAGGCCUCUGCUCCCGCGAGGGUCCUCCUGGUUCACCCACAGUGACAGCCCCCGCCCCCUCCUCUGUCCCUGACUCUGAUUCAUUUUUCUGGUGAGCUUGCCAUCCUCUCUCUCUUUCUACUUAUCUGGUCAUCUGCUCAGUGUUUUCUGCCCACCCUGAACACACUCUGAAGGUGAGCUCUAGCAAGUGGGAAUGGUGUCUUAUUCACAUGGAGCCUGGCACACAGUAGGUACACAAAACACCGGGUUUUUAAAAAAAUUUUUGUUUUAAUUUUAUUAUGAUUAAAAAAAAAUUUAACCAUACCAUAUGGCAAGUGAGCUCUUAGUUCCCUGA